AACCAGUGGUAUCAACACACAGGAACCACCCGGAAACUGCGACCACCAGAGGUUAGGCGCCCUCCAGACCGCUAUGGAGACUUCGUCUAAGGGGGGAAGAAUUGACAUGUCUCGCUUGAAGACAACGACAACGAAGUGCGCGCGCGACUAGA
rnacentral:lncRNA from 1 species